ACUCAAAUGAAUAGACGGGGACCCGCACAAGCAGCGGAGCGUGUGGUUUAAUUCGAGGCUACGCGAAGAACCUUACCAGGGCUUGACAUAUGCGUGGUAGCGAGCCGAAAGGUGAGCGACCCUUCGGGGAGCGUAUACAGGUGCUGCAUGGCUGUCGUCAGCUCGUGCCGUGAGGUGUUAGGUUAAGUCCUGUAACGAGCGCAACCCUCGUCGCUAGUUAUACGUGUCUAGCGAGACUGCCCGUGAUAAGCGGGAGGAAGGUGGGGAUGACGUCAAGUCAGCAUGGCCUUUAUGUCCUGGGCUACACACACGCUACAAUGGCCGGUACAAUGGGUAGCCAAGCCGCGAGGUGGAGCCAAUCCCCCAAAGCCGGUCUCAGUUCGGAUUGUAGGCUGCAACUCGCCUGCAUGAAGUCGGAGUUGCUAGUAAACGCGCGUCAGCAACAGUGCGUUGAAUACGUUCCCGGGUCUUGUACACACCGCCCGU
rnacentral:rRNA from 1 species